rnacentral:rRNA from 1 species
GAUGAACGCUGGCGGCGUGCCUAAUACAUGCAAGUCGAGCGGUAAGGCCCUUCGGGGUACACGAGCGGCGGACGGCUGAGUAACACGUAGGAACGUACCCCAAACUGAGGGAUAAGCACCAGAAAUGGUGUCUAAUACCGCAUGUGGCCCACGGGCUAAAGCUCCGGCGGUUUGGGAACGGCCUGCGUCCGAUUAGCUAGUUGGCGAGGUAAAAGCUCACCAAGGCGACGAUCGGUAGCUGGUCUGAGAGGAUGAUCAGCCAGACUGGGACUGAGACACGGCCCAGACUCCUACGGGAGGCAGCAGUAGGGAAUUUUCCACAAUGGGGGCAACCCUGAUGGAGCAACGCCGCGUGCAGGAUGAAGGCCUUCGGGUUGUAAACUGCUUUUAUCUGUGACGAUUAUGACGGUAGCAGAUGAAUAAGGACCUGCUAACUACGUGCCAGCCGCCGCUGUAAUAC